AUUGAACGCUGGCGGAAUGCUUUACACAUGCAAGACGAACGGUAGAGGGGGCAACCCCUCGAGAGUGGCGAACGGGUGAGUAUAUAUCGGAACGUGCCCAGUCGUGGGGGAUAACGUAGCGAAAGUUACGCUAAUACCGCAUACGAUCUAAGGAUGAAAGCGGGGGAUCGCAAGACCUCGCGCGAUUGGAGCGGCCGAUAUCAGAUUAGGUAGUUGGUGGGGUAAAGGCUCACCAAGCCAACGAUCUGUAGCUGGUCUGAGAGGACGACCAGCCACACUGGAACUGAGACACGGUCCAGACUACUACGGGAGGCAGCAGUGGGGAAUUUUGGACAAUGGACGCAAGUCUGAUCCAGCCAUUCCGCGUGCAGGAUGAAGGCCCUCGGGUUGUAAACUGCUUUUGUACGGAACGAAAAGGUCUCUCUUAAUACGGGGGACUCAUGACGGUACCGUAAGAAUAAGCACCGGCUAACUACGUGCCAGCCGCCGCCGUAA
rnacentral:rRNA from 1 species